rnacentral:rRNA from 1 species
GACGAACGCUGGCGGCGUGCUUAACACAUGCAAGUCGAACGGAAAGGCCAUGCUUUUGUGGGGUGCUCGAGUGGCGAACGGGUGAGUAACACGUGAGUAACCUGCCCUUGACUUUGGGAUAACUUCAGGAAACUGGGGCUAAUACCGGAUAGGAGCUCCUGCAGCAUGGUGGGGGUUGGAAAGUUUCGGCGGUUGGGGAUGGACUCGCGGCUUAUCAGCUUGUUGGUGGGGUAGUGGCUUACCAAGGCUUUGACGGGUAGCCGGCCUGAGAGGGUGACCGGCCACAUUGGGACUGAGAUACGGCCCAGACUCCUACGGGCGGCAGCAGUGGGGAGUAUUGCACAAUGGGCGGAAGCCUGAUGCAGCAACGCCGCGUGCGGGAUGACGGCCUUCGGGUUGUAAACCGCUUUCGCCUGUGACGAAGCGUGAGUGACGGUAAUGGGUCAAGAAGCACCGGCUAACUACGUG